UGGCCAGGCACUGAGGAGCAAACCACAUCCUUUCUUUUGGCUCCUCUGUUUAUAACUUACCCAAAAGGAAACUGGGUUCAUUGUGUGAGGGGCACAGAACUUGUGGCCACUCUAUGAACAAAUUCCCUACAUGU
ensembl:snoRNA